GCGCAUCCCAUAUCAUGAAGUCAAACAAGAUAACACGCUGAACUUAAGCU
rnacentral:rRNA from 1 species